GGACAGCGAUCGCCGAGUCCCCAACUGGCGCGAGCCAGGGGAGCCGGGGACCCACUCAGUCCCUGGGGUGAAUCGGACGCCUCCGCCCGCGGAGGGGCCCGUAGGAGACCUUCCAGCUCCGAACCCGUCAGCUAACCCGGUAGGCGAGAUGGAAGGAAAGG
rnacentral:sRNA from 2 species